CAGCACCACAAGUGGUCAGGACGAUUAUUGGGCCUAAAGCAUCCGUAGCCGGCUCUGUAAGUUUUCGGUUAAAUCUGUACGCUCAACGUACAGGCUGCCGGGAAUACUGCAGCGCUAGGGAGUGGGAGAGGUAGACGGUACUCGGUAGGAAGGGGUAAAAUCCUUUGAUCUAUUGAUGACCACCUGUGGCGAAGGCGGUCUACCAGAACACGUCCGACGGUGAGGGAUGAAAGCUGGGGGAGCAAACCGGAUUAGAUACCCGAGUAGUCC
rnacentral:rRNA from 1 species